ensembl:lncRNA
GUAACCCAAUCACAAAAAGACAAACAUGAUAUGUACUCACUCAUAUGUGAAUUUUAGACAUAGAGUAAUGAUUACCAGCCUACAAUCCACACUGCCAGAGAAACUAGUAAACAAGGAGGACCCUAAAAGAGACAAACAUUGUCCCCUGGAGAAGGGUAAAGGGUCACCAUCCCCUGAGCAAAUUGAGAGCACGGGAAGAGUGGGGAGGAAGCUACAAGAAUGAGAAGGGGAGCAGAGAGGGGUGCAGAGGUCAUGAGGGAGCAGAAAGGUUGAGUCAGGUAAAGAAUAGAAGAAAGGAUAUGUGAUAGGUAGGGUUUUAGUUGGGGAGGUGGUAGGGGAGGAAGGGAGGGAGAAGGGAACUGGGAUUGUCAUGUAAAUCAAUCUUGUUUCUAAUUCAAAUAAAAAAGAUAAAAAAAAAUCAUAAAAAGAAAAAAUAAAGUACAUAGGAAUAUGAAAAAAAGUAGUGUACAGAAAUAGACAAUUCUCAACAGAGGAAUCUAAAAUGGCUAAAAGGCACAUAAGAAAGUGUUCAACAUCCUUAGCUAUCAGAGAAAUGCAAAUCAGAACAACUCUGAGAUACAAUCUUACCCCUGUCAGAAUGGCCAAAAUAAAAAACACCAAUGACAGUUUAUGCUGGAGAAGAUAUGGAGAAAGGGAAACAACACUUCUCUACUGCUGUUGGGAGUGCCAUCUUGUACAGCCACUUUGAAAAUCAGUAUGGCGACUCCUCAGGAAAAUGCAAAUCAGUCUACCACAAGAUCCAGGAAUCCCACUCUUAGGCAUAUACCCAAAAGAAACACAUUCAUACAACAAGGACAUCUGUUCAAUGAUGUUCAUAGCAGCAUUAUUUGUAAUACCCAGAACCUGGAAGCAACCUAGAUGCCCCUCAUCUGAAGAAUGGAUAGAGAAAAUGUGGUACAUUUACAAAAUGGAGUACUACUCAGGCAGGGGGGGCGGAACAAUGGAAUAUUGAAAUUUGCAGGAAAAUGGAUGGAACUAUAAGAAAACAUUCUGAGCAAGGUAACCCAAUCAUAAAAAGACAAACAUGGUAUGUUCUCACUCAUAUUUUAGACAUAGAGUAAAGGAUUACCAGCCUACAAUCCACACUGCCAGAGAAGCUAGUAAACAAGGAGGACCCUAAGAGAGACAUACAAGGCCCCCUGGAGAAGGGCAAAGGGACAAGAUCUCCUGAGCAAAUUGGGAGCAAGGGAAGAGGGGGGAGGGAGCUAGGAGAAUGAGAAGGGGAGAAGAGGAGGGAUGAGGAGGACAUGAGGGAGCAGAAAGGUUGAGUCAGGGGAAGAAUAGAAGAAAACAAGAAAUGAGAUACCAUAACAGAGGGAGUCAUUUUAGGUUUACAGAGAAAUCAAGCACUAGGGAUAGGUCUGGAGAUCUACCAAGAUAGCACCAACUAACAAUCUAAGCAACAGAGGAGAGGCUAUGUUAAAUGCCUUCCCCUGUUAAUGAGAUUAAUGACUGUGUUAUAUGCCAUCCUUUAGCUUUCAUCAAGCAGCUUGUAGAAGUAGAAGCAGACACCCACAGCUAAUCACUGAACUGAAUCCAGAUGCAGAGAAGGAUGAGUGAAGAGCAAAGGGGUCCAGACCAGGCUGGUGAAACCCACAGAAACUGCUGACCUGAACAAUGGGGGUCUCUUGUUCCCCACACUGAUAGCUGGGAUACCAAUAUAGGACUGAUCCAGACCCCAGGAAAAUGGGUUUCAAUGAGGAGACCUAGGAAAUCUAUGGGACCUCCUGUACUUAUCCCUAGCAUAGCUGUGGACUUUGGGAGCCCAAUCCACAUAGAGGGAUACUCCUUGAGCCAAGACACACAGGGGUGGGCCUAGGCCCUAUCCCAAAGGAUACAAUAGACUCUGAUGACCCCCUACGGAAGGCCUCACCUUCCUGGGGAGCAGAAAGGAUUUGUGAUAGCUAGGAUUUAGUUGGGGGAGGGAAGGUAGGGGGAGCUGAGGGAGUGGGAACUGGGAUUGACAUGUAAAACAAACUUGUUUAUAAUUCAAAUAAAAGAUGGAGAAAAACAAAGAUUGUCACUAAGACACAUUAUUGGGCAGACAAUGGCUAUUUAGGGAAUUAAAUGUUGCUAGAGAUAAGGUAAUUAGCCCCUGGAAAUGAAACACUCUGACCUCUCUAUAAAAGGUGAUACAAAAGGAUACAUUACCAUUAAGCCCCAAAUGGUUUCUUAAGAGUGUCUUUUGUUUGGGAGAUGUGUAAUUUACCCAAGAGAAGGAGAAGAACCAUCACUUAUCUUAAGGAUCAGCAUUAAAGUGUAAGGAGAAUCUUCGUUCUUGGUUUUAUUCUCACAGCUACCUUAUUACUCCAGCAUAAUCUGAAGGCUGAGAGCUCACAUCUUGAACUUCAGGCAUGAAGCAGAAAGAGUACAAACUGGAAAUGACAUGAGCAUUUUACUCUCAAAGUCAACCCCUGGUGACUUGCUUCCUCCAGCAAGAUCGCACAUCUUAUACCUACCCAAACAUUGCCAACAGAGGAACCUAUGAAUGGUAGUCAUUUAAACCACCACAGUGACUAACACAAACAAUUUCAUAGGCUGCACUGGCAAAAUGACAUAUCUACAAAGCACAUCAAAGUGUUGCAUCUAAACUUCUGGUAAGAUUAACUCAAACCUGAUGAUCCAGGGAAAAGUAAGAGAUGGAAAAAAUGAAAAGCCAAAUAAUGGAUUCUACAGUAAUCACUUAUAUACUAAUUCCUGCAUACCUGGUGAAAACUGAUGUAUCUGUUCUCCUGGAAAACACCCAGACAGGAGAACCUUCAAUCAGGUAUUCAGUACUUGUUUAAUAUUGAUGGAAGCAGAGGCAGACACCCACAGAUAUACACUGAACAGAACUCUGGAAACCAGUUGCAGAGAGGGAGGAAUGAAGAUCAAAGGGGACAGUACCAGGUUGGUGAAACCCACAGAAACAGCUGGCCUGAACAAGGGGGAGCACAUGGACCCCUGACUGCUUUCUGGGAGGCCAGCACAGGACUGAUCCAGACCCCUGAAAAUGGAUGUCAAUGAGGAGGCCUCCAAACUCUAGGGAGACCCUGGUAGUGGAUUAGUAUUUUUCCCUGGUGUAAGAAGGGACUUUGAGAGCCCAUCCCACUUGAAGGGAUGCAGUCUUGCCCUGGACACUUAGGGGAGGGCUUAGGCCCAGCCCAGAAUGAUGUGGUGGACUUUGGGGACCCCCUAUGAGGGCCCUACCCUGCCUGGGG